rnacentral:tRNA from 2 species
GGCGCGAUGGCAGAGUGGUUAUGCAGCGGCCUGCAAAGCCGUCUACGUCGGUUCGAUUCCGGCUCGCGCCUCCA